AUUGAACGCUGGCGGCAUGCCUUACACAUGCAAGUCGAACGGUAACAGGUCUUCGGAUGCUGACGAGUGGCGAACGGGUGAGUAAUACAUCGGAACGUGCCCAGACGUGGGGGGGUAACGAGGCGAAAGCGGCGCUAAUACCGCAUAUGCUCUGAGGAGGAAAGUGGGGGGACCGCAAGGCCUCACGCUCUGGGAGCGGCCGAUGUCCGAUUAGCUAGUUGGUGGGGUAAAGGCUUACCAAGGCGACGAUCGGUAGCUGGUCUGAGGGGACGACCAGCCACACUGGAACUGAGACACGGUCCAGACUCCUACGGGAGGCAGCAGUGGGGAAUUUUGGACAAUGGGGGCAACCCUGAUCCAGCCAUUCCGCGUGAGUGAAGAAGGCCUCGGGUUGUAAGACUCUUUCUAGCAGGAACGAAACGGUAGGCCGACUAAUAACUGGCUACUAAUGACGGUACCU
rnacentral:rRNA from 1 species